AGAGUUUGAUCCUGGCUCAGAUUGAACGCUGGCGGCAGGCCUAACACAUGCAAGUCGAGCGGAUGAAGGGAGCUUGCUCUCUGAUUCAGCGGCGGACGGGUGAGUAAUGCCUAGGAAUCUGCCUGGUAGUGGGGGACAACGUUUCGAAAGGAACGCUAAUACCGCAUACGUCCUACGGGAGAAAGCAGGGGACCUUCGGGCCUUGCGCUAUCAGAUGAGCCCAGGUCGGAUUAGCUAGUAGGUGAGGUAAUGGCUCACCUAGGCGACGAUCCGUAACUGGUCUGAGAGGAUGAUCAGUCACACUGGAACUGGAGACACGGUUCAGACUCCUACGGGAGGCAGCAGUGGGGAAUAUUGGACAAUGGGCGAAAGCCUGAUCCAGCCAUGCCGCAUGUGUGAAGAAGGUCUUCGGAUUGUAAAGCACUUUAAGUUGGGAGGAAGGGCAGUAAGUUAAUACCUUGCUGUUUUGACGUUACCAACAGAAUAAGCACCGGCUAACUUCGUGCCAGCAGCCGCGGUAAUACGAAGGGUGCAAGCGUUAAUCGGAAUUACUGGGCGUAAAGCGCGCGUAGGUGGUUCAGCAAGUUGGAGGUGAAAUCCCCGGGCUCAACCUGGGAACUGCCUCCAAAACUACUGAGCUAGAGUACGGUAGAGGGUAGUGGAAUUUCCUGUGUAGCGGUGAAAUGCGUAGAUAUAGGAAGGAACAAGAGUGGCGAAGGCGACUACCUGGACUGAUACUGACACUGAGGUGCG
rnacentral:rRNA from 1 species